GGGUCAAUGAUGACAACAUUAAGUCAAGAACAGAAUGAUGACAUAAAAAUCAUGCUCAAUAGGAUUACGCUGAGGCCC
ensembl:snoRNA LOC120100238 small nucleolar RNA SNORD115